UUGACCUCAAAUCAGGUAGGACUACCCGCUGAACUUAAGCAUAUCAAUAAGCGGAGGAAAAGAAACCAACAGGGAUUGCCUCAGUAGCGGCGAGUGAAGCGGCAAAAGCUCAAAUUUGAAAUCUGGCGUCUUUGGCGUCCGAGUUGUAAUUUGAAGAAGGUAUCUUUGGGCCCGGCUCUUGUCUAUGUUCCUUGGAACAGGACGUCACAGAGGGUGAGAAUCCCGUGCGAUGAGAUGACCCGGGUCUGUG
rnacentral:rRNA from 1 species